GACGAACGCUGGCGGCGUGCCUAAUACAUGCAAGUCGAACGCAGUGGGGACGGGUGAGUAACACGUGGGUAACCUCCCAUCAGAGGGGACAACACUUGGAAACAGGUGCUAAACCGAUACUGAUGGAUGGACCCGCGGUGCAUUAGCUAGUUGGUGAGGUAACGGCUCACCAAGGCUACGAUGCAUAGCGAACCUGAGAGGGUGAUCAGCCACACUGGGACUGAAACACGGCCCAGACUCCUGCGGAAGGCAACAGUAGGGAAUCUUCGGCAAUGGACGAAAAUCUGACAGAGCAAGGCCGCGUGAGUGAAGAAGGUUUGCGGAUCGUAAAGCUCUGUUGUUAGAGAAGCGGUAUCUAACCAGAAAGCCACGGCUAACUACGUGCCAGCAGCCGCGGUAAUUC
rnacentral:rRNA from 1 species